UACGUAGGGUGCGAGCGUUAAUCGGAAUUACUGGGCGUAAAGCGCACGUAGGCGGUUCGUUAUGUCAGAUGUGAAAGCCCUUGGCUCAACUGAGGAAGUGCAUCUGAAACUGGCGAGCUAGAGUAUGUAAGAGGGUCGCGGAAUUCCCGGUGUAGAGGUGAAAUUCGUAGAUAUCGGGAGGAACACCGGUGGCGAAGGCGGCGACCUGGGACAAUACUGACGCUGAGGUGCGAAAGCGUGGGGAGCAAACAGG
rnacentral:rRNA from 1 species